UACGAAGGGGGCUAGCGUUGUUCGGAAUUACUGGGCGUAAAGGGCGCGUAGGCUGUGCUGUAAGUCAGGCGUGAAAGGCCCGGGCUCAACCUGGGAAUGGCGCUUGAUACUGCGGCGCUGGAAGGUGGGAGAGGAUGGCGGAAUUCCCAGUGUAGAGGUGAAAUUCGUAGAUAUUGGGAAGAACACCGGUGGCGAAGGCGGCCAUCUGGCCCACAUUUGACGCUGAGGCGCGAAAGCAUGGGGAGCAAACAGG
rnacentral:rRNA from 1 species